GAACCUGCGGAAGGAUCAUUAAAGAGUAAGGGU
rnacentral:rRNA from 1 species